AUGACAAUAAUCAGCAAUUUGCUCUGCAGAGAGGGCCCAGAGAAGACACAUGGGAGCCAGCGAUGGGAUUGCAGUGAGCCACUGCAUUAUGCCAUUAUAUCCCUUGUGGAAUGAGAGAGGAGGGGAUAGAGUCCAGGAACAAACAACAACAACAACAACAGAAGGUCUUCCUUUCAGCGGCGUAAAGAGCCUCACCUUCCUGAGACUUUCUGAGCUUCUGAGAAGCAAAUUGCCACGCCACUUCAUCCCUACAUGGCUACCUGUUCCCUGAACACUUGGUGGUCCUCUUUUUGGUGUGUCAAGUCUGUUCAUUGUUUUCUUUCAAGUUUCUGAAGUUUUGGAAGCCUAUCACAUGUGCUGUUAUCUUCUCUCCUGUUCUUGAAGCCUUCAGAGAUUUUGUCAUUUUUUAUUUUAUUCAUGGAAUUUUGUAGAGUUUCCCAAAUGGGUACAGGUAGUUGCAUUCAACCAGGAGU
rnacentral:lncRNA from 1 species